rnacentral:lncRNA from 11 species
AUUUUACUCUAUUAUUACAUGUAUUAUUUUACUCUAUUAUUAUUAAAAGGAUAUAUAAGCACAUUUACAUUGAAGAAGAUGAGAAUAAUGAUUUGAUCAGAGUUGGACAGUCUUAUCUUAAAUUUGAGCUUUAUGUAAAUAUUCAAAAACAUUUAACCUAUUUAUGCCUGAAUUAAUGUAAUUUUAUUGGUUAUUUUUAUUUCUGAAAUUUACCACCAUCGGCUUAUACUGGAGUCAAUGUUUUCCCAGUUUUUUUGUGGUAAAAUUAGGUGUCUUGGUUUAUAUUCGGGUCGACUUAUACUCUAGUAUGUACAGUAUUUAUUCCCUGCCUUGAUCUGUGGGGAGAGGUGGAUAAGAAAGGAUGAUGAUGAUGAUGAUACAAUUAUAGAGUUGGAAGAUACCCCAAGGGCCAUUGAGUCCAACCCUAUUAUUUUGCUAAGCAGGAAUACACUAUCAAAACCCUCUCUUUUUAAGCUCUGCUUAAAAAAAAAAACUCCAGAGAAGGGGACUCCAACGGAUUCCCAUGCAGCAUAUUCAGUUGCCAAACAACUCUUUCCAUUGGAAAGUUUAUUCCUAAUAUUUAGAUGGAAACUUUUUUCCUGCAAUUUGAAUCCAUUGCUCCAUCGUUCCCUAGACUCUGGAACAGCAAAAAAAGAAGCGUAUCCCCUCCUCAGUAUCACAUCCUUUUUAAUAUGUAAAUGUGGAUGAUGAUGAUAAUGACAGCCUGCUUUUACUUGUCUUGUUUUCAUUUGGCUCUCAGGUACGUCUUCAUUGCCAUGGAAGCCCUGGACCAGCUACUUAUGGCUUGCCAUUCUCAAAGCAUCAAGCCCUUUGUGGAGAGCUUCCUGCACAUGGUGGCCAAGCUGCUGGAGUCCGGAGAGCCCAAGCUGCAAGUGUUGGGGACCAACUCGUUUGUGAAAUUUGCGAACAUUGAGGAGGACACGCCUUCCUACCACCGCCGCUAUGACUUCUUUGUAUCGCGCUUCAGUGCCAUGUGCCAUUCGUGCCACAGUGACCCGGAAAUACGGAACGAGAUCCGGAUUGCUGGGAUCAGAGGCAUCCAGGGGGUGGUUCGCAAAACGGUGAACGACGAGCUCCGGGCCACCAUCUGGGAGCCUCAGCAUAUGGACAAGAUCGUUCCCUCAUUGCUUUUUAACAUGCAGAAGAUAGAAGAUGCUGACAGGUUAGCGCAUCCCUCACAUAAAUGUUCCUUUUCUAUCUCCAAGCAUUUUUCUCUUUCUGGAAGUUGAAGUCCAAAACGCCUGGAGGGCCAAAGUUUGUUCAUGUCUGGUCUAGACCACAUAGUAUUUGAAGCCGUGGGCUUAAACCCGAAGGGUUCCUACCAAGUCUGUUUUCCCUUCCAGCCGGAAUGGGCCACCUGCAUCUCCAACGGGAGGCGAUAAAGAGGAGGAUCCGGCUUAUCUGGCGGAGAACUGUUUCAGAGAACUGCUGGGUCGCGCAACCUACGGGAACAUGAACCACGCAGUCAGGCCAGUCUUUGCGUGAGUAGGAAAGCGCCAACGUCUUCUGGAGUUUGGCGGAGUCUGAUUUCCCAAUUACUACUUAAACAGUCUGUGCCUGCAAGUUAGAAACCAGUCUGGAACAUCUGAUUAUUAUCAAAAAAUACCGGAGGCCGCAUGGUGUACUGGAUGGAGGAUAGAUCUGCAUCUAGUUAGCACCCGGCUCUCCAGCCAGAUGGCUCUGAAGUUUUUUUUGGUUUUUUUUUUACAAAUUUUUAUUUUUUAAAACACAAAAAAAACAUACCAUAGACAUACAAAACAUUUACAAUUCCCACCACCAACACGAGGAUUGUUUUCUUUUUACAUAUUAAUUUCUUUGUGAGACAAUCUUUAUAUCUUUAUCUUUAUCCAUUUUCAUCCUAUAUACUAUAUAACAUUUGUAUCUUAUUUCUUAUGGCUUGAUCUCUGGAUUGAUUCAUGAUAUAGUUCUUUACCCUUGUUCAUCUUUCUUCCAUUUCUCUUUUUCUAUUUUCAUUAGUUUUUACAACAUUUAGUUUCACAUUCAUAAUUUCAAAUUCCAUUUGCUCCACCAUAUAUUGGUACCAUUUACUUACUGACCAUUUUGAUUUAUCUUUCCACCCUAAUACUAUUACUGCUUGUGCACAUUCAAUUAUUGCUUAUUUCCCUUUUAUUUCCCGUUUCCUCUCUUUUCCCUAAUACUGCUAUUUCCUUUGUUAUGACCCACUCAUUUCCUAGUAUGGCUCUGAAGAGAUUGCUUCAUUUUUUUUCUUUGGAGUUCAUAGAAUUUUGAAUAACUUCAUUGUCAUUGUACAUCGUACAAUGAUAUUAAAUGUCUUCCCCAAUGCAUAUUAUAUACAGUAGAGUCUCACUUAUCCAACAUAAACGGGCCGGCAGAACAUUGGAUAAGCAAAAAUGUUGGAUAAUAAGGAGGGAUUAAGAAAAAAGCCUAUUAAAUAUCAAAUUACAUUAUGAUUUUACAAAUUAAGCACCAAAACAUCAUGUUUUACAACGAAUUGACAGAAAAAGCAGUUCAAUACACAGUAAUGUUAUGUAGUAAUUACUGUAUUUACGCAUUUAGCACCAAAACAUUGCAACAUUCACUACAAAAACAUUGACUACUAAAAGGCAGACUGCAUUGGAUAAUACAGAACUUUGGAUAAGUGAAGCUUGGAUGGAUAAGUGAGACUCUACUGUAUGUACAAAUUAUGAAACAAAGCACCCAUCCUCCCACAUUCUAAUUACUAUUGCACAACUCCUCAUGCCAGUGUAAAGUUCAAUAUAUACAGUCACAGCUCUUAGAUAAAAGCUAUCUCUUAGCCUAUUUGUCCUUGUUCAUAUCCUCCAAUCCCAUCUGCCAAAUGGUAACAAUUUAAAAAAAGAAUACCCAGAGUGAGAUUGAUCCUUCAGAAUAUUUACAGCUUUUUUAAGGCAGGGAACAAGUGGGGUACCAUAUGUGCUCGCUGCUCUCGUCGUCUUUACUGCCGAAAGCAAGAUUUGGAUUUUGUUAUGACCCAUGGAUAAAUCAAGGGUCAUUCUGCAGAAAAGAGAGCACAUAAUAACAACAACAACAUUUAUCACCCACCUCUCCUUUCACCUUGAGGCUGGACACAACAUAGUUAAAUAAAUCUAUAAAAUCAU